UUCAAAAGUCUAGAAUAGGCUUCAUUCCCUCCCUCUUUAACCGGGGUAGUCGGUUCCUUAUCCUGCAGAUCGAAAGCGUGGAGUCUCGAAGAAGAUCUGCACGGUAUGAAUCUGUCGCUGCAAGUCGAUUUAGACGGCGAGGAUAAACUCGAAAUCCCACGAAAUGAGCUCGAAAACGUUUCUAAACGCAACGAAGUCUGGUUCAUCCCUGCGGGAAGAUUCAAACCGGUUUUGGUACUCUGUGGCGAUGCCAUUUCUGGGUUCUAUUCGAAAGCACGGUUUGGUCGGAGAUUGAAACAACCGUAGGAGAGAAGAUUGCAAAAGAAUCGAAGAGAGCUUUAUCUCUCUCUUUUUUUUUCCCUUCUUUUGCGAAAAG